rnacentral:rRNA from 1 species
AUGACUAGGGAUAACCUUAGGAAGAGACACAUCAUCAAACCCCUUGAUUGUAUUUACUGCUUGGAACAAGAGUCUUGUUCUCACCUAUUUUUUGAAUGUAUAGUUGCUAAACAUCUCUGGACCCACAUUGAGGAAUAUUUUUCUAGUCAGAUUGGCUCAUCCUUCGAAUCUGUCGCCAGAUUCUGGAUUGCUACCAAAAAGUGCUCAGUUUUAAACAUUGUUAGCUCAGCUGUCCUUUGGUGCCUCUGGAAAUAUAAAAAUGCUAUGAUUUUCAGUAACACCUCCUGGAUUUCCAUUCCGCGGGUCUUGAGGUUGAUCGGGAACAAGUUGAUGAGCUUUGUGGAAACCCUAACAAGAUCCCUCCAGAAACCGUUGGCGAUUACUUGUGGCUGA